UACGUAGGGGGCUAGCGUUGUCCGGAAUCAUUGGGCGUAAAGAGCGUGUAGGCGGCCCGGUAAGUCCGCUGUGAAAGUCGGGGGCUCAACCCUCGGAUGCCGGUGGAUACUGUCGGGCUCGAGUACGGAAGAGGCGAGUGGAAUUCCUGGUGUAGCGGUGAAAUGCGCAGAUAUCAGGAGGAACACCUAUUGCGAAGGCAGCUCGCUGGGACGUUACUGACGCUGAGGAGCGAAAGCAUGGGGAGCGAACAGG
rnacentral:rRNA from 1 species